GUUUCUACCUCUAGGUCGGGGACAACGUUGGAAACUGACUGCUAAUACCGGAUGUGCCGAAAGGUGAAAGAUUAAUUGCCUAGAGAUGAGCUCGCGUCUGAUUAGCUAGUUGGUGGGGUAAGAGCCUACCAAGGCGACAAUCAGUAACUGGUCUGAGAAGAUGAUCAACCACACUGGGACUGAGACACGGCCCAGACUCCUACGGGAGGCAGCAGUGGGGAAUUUUCCGCAAUGGGCGAAAGCCUGACGGAGCAAUACCCCGUGAGGGAGGAAGGCUCUUGGGUCGUAAACCUCUUUUCUCAGGGAAGAAGAAAGUGACGGUACCUGAGGAAUCAGCAUCGGCUAACUCCGUGCCAGCAGCCGCGGUAAUACGGAGGAUGCAAGCGUUAUCCGGAAUGAUUGGGCGUAAAGCGUCCGCAGGUGGCUGUGUAAGUCUGCUGUUAAAGAAUGAGGCUCAACCUCAUCAAAGCGGUGAAAACUACACGGCUAGAGUGGGUUCGGGGCAGAGGGAAUUCCUGGUGUAGCGGAGAAAUGCGUAGAUAUCAGGAAGAACACCGGGGGAAAAAGCGCUCUGCUAGGCCGCAACUGACACUGAGGGACGAAAGCUAGGGGAGCA
rnacentral:rRNA from 1 species